rnacentral:misc_RNA from 1 species
GCAUCGGCUAACUCCGUGCCAGCAGCCGCGGUAAUACGGAGGAUGCAAGCGUUAUCCGGAAUCAUUGGGCGUAAAGGGUCCGCAGGUGGCGAAUAAAGCCUGCUGUUAAAGACCGGGGCUAAACUCCGGAAAGGCAGUGGAAACUGAUUAGCUAGAGUACGGUAGGGGUAGAGGGAAUUCCCAGUGUAGCGGUGAAAUGCGUAGAUAUUGGGAAGAACACCGGUGGCGAAAGCGCUCUACUAGGCCGAAACUGACACUGAGGGACGAAAGCUAGGGUAGCGAAAGGGAUUAGAUACCCCUGUAGUCUUAGCGGUAAACGAUGGAUACUAGGUGUAGCUUGUAUCGACCCGAGCUGUGCCGAAGCUAACGCGAUAAGUAUCCCGCCUGGGGAGUACGCACGCAAGUGUGAAACUCAAAGGAAUUGACGGGGGCCCGCACAAGCGGUGGAGUAUGUGGUUUAAUUCGAUGCAACGCGAAGAACCUUACCAGGGCUUGACAUGUCGCGAAUCUAGCGGAAACGUUAGAGUGCCUUAGGGAAUGCGAACACAGGUGGUGCAUGGCUGUCGUCAGCUCGUGUCGUGAGAUGUUGGGUUAAGUCCCGCAACGAGCGCAACCCUCGUCCUUAGUUGCCAAUAUUAAGUUAGGCACUCUAGGGAGACUGCCGGGGACAACUCGGAGGAAGGUGGGGAUGACGUCAAGUCAGCAUGCCCCUUACGUCCUGGGCGACACACGUACUACAAUGGUUGGGACAAAGGGCAGCAAGCUCGCGAGAGUAAGCGAAUCUCAUCAAACCCAGCCACAGUUCAGAUUGCAGGCUGCAACUCGCCUGCAUGAAGUAGGAAUCGCUAGUAAUCGCAGGUCAGCAUACUGCGGUGAAUUCGUUCCCGGGCCUUGUACACACCGCCCGUCACACCAUGGAAGCUGGCUACGCCCGAAGGCGUUACCCUAACCCGGUUUUGGGAGGGGGAUGCCGAAGGUAGAGCUAGUGACUGGGGUGAAGUCGUAACAAGGUAGCCGUACCGGAAGGUGUGGCUGGAUCACCUCCUUUACAGGGAGACCUAGUCUAAUUACCAAUAGAUGAAAAAGUUGGUAAUUCGCAACAAUCCUUAGGUCGUGAGGGGAGCAAGAAAAAACUUUCAAACUGUAAUGGGUGGGGGUACUCGGGCUAUUAGCUCAGGUGGUUAGAGCGCACCCCUGAUAAGGGUGAGGUCCCUGGUUCAAGUCCAGGAUGGCCCACCUGAAAUACACAGGCAUCCUGCCUGUGCCACAAAAAAAGGAAAAAAUUUUAGCAUUGUCUCUUGUAAUCAAGAGCAAGAGAUAAUGCUGGAAUAGAUUCCAGCAAGAACCUUGAAAACUGCAUAGAACUAGAAAGAAAAAGUCAGGUAGAAAAUCCUACAAGCUAGAGCUAGAAAGAGCGAAAGGU